AACGAACGCUGGCGGCAGGCCUAACACAUGCAAGUCGAGCGAAGCCUUCGGGCUUAGCGGCGGACGGGUGAGUAACGCGUGGGAACGUGCCCUUUGCUACGGAAUGGCCCCGGGAAACUGGGAGUAAUACCGUAUGUGCCCUUCGGGGGAAAGAUUUAUCGGCAAAGGAUCGGCCCGCGUUGGAUUAGGUAGUUGGUGGGGUAAUGGCCUACCAAGCCGACGAUCCAUAGCUGGUUUGAGAGGAUGAUCAGCCACACUGGGACUGGGACACGGCCCAGACUCCUACGGGAGGCAGCAGUGGGGAAUCUUAGACAAUGGGGGAAACCCUGAUCUAGCCAUGCCGCGUGAUCGAUGAAGGCCUUAGGGUUGUAAAGAUCUUUCAGUGGGGAAGAUAAUGACUGUACCCACAGAAGAAGCCCCGGCUAACUCCGUGCCAGCAGCCGCCGCGUAAC
rnacentral:rRNA from 1 species